GGGUGAGGCAGGUAAGGCCCCUGCUGCAAUGUCACACAGGCCUGCACGGAGGUCCCUGCUGCUCCCAUGACUGGCUCUGAGCCGCUUGUCAAGAUGGAGAACAGCAGGUGUUUCCCCCAAUGGAAGGCUUUGCUGCUUGGAGAAGGCAGGCCCUGUUUACACAGAAGCCUUUAAGUGCUGUGAUUUCGAUGCUUGCAGCAGUUCGCUGAAUGUUACAUCACCAGGAUAAUGUUUAUCCUAAGCAGCUAAAGCUGUCAUUGACAUUUGC